ACGCUGGCGGCGUGCCUAAUACAUGCAAGUAGAACGCUGAAGCUUGGUGCUUGCACCGAGCGGAUGAGUUGCGAACGGGUGAGUAACGCGUAGGUAACCUGCCUCUUAGCGGGGGAUAACUAUUGGAAACGAUAGCUAAUACCGCAUAAAAGUCGAUAUCGCAUGAUAUUGAUUUGAAAGGUGCAAUUGCAUCACUAAGAGAUGGACCUGCGUUGUAUUAGCUAGUUGGUGAGGUAACGGCUCACCAAGGCGACGAUACAUAGCCGACCUGAGAGGGUGAUCGGCCACACUGGGACUGAGACACGGCCCAGACUCCUACGGGAGGCAGCAGUAGGGAAUCUUCGGCAAUGGGGGCAACCCUGACCGAGCAACGCCGCGUGAGUGAAGAAGGUUUUCGGAUCGUAAAGCUCUGUUGUAAGAAAAGAACGAGUGUGAGAGUGGAAAGUUCACACUGUGACGGUAACUUACCAGAAAGGGACGGCUAACUACGUGCCAGCAGCCGCGGUAAUACGUAGGUCCCGAGCGUUAUCCGGAUUUAUUGGGCGUAAAGCGAGCGCAGGCGGUUAGAUAAGUCUGAAGUUAAAGGCUGUGGCUUAACCAUAGUACGCUUUGGAAACUGUUUAACUUGAGUGCAGAAGGGGAGAGUGGAAUUCCAUGUGUAGCGGUGAAAUGCGUAGAUAUAUGGAGGAACACCGGUGGCGAAAGCGGCUCUCUGGUCUGUAACUGACGCUGAGGCUCGAAAGCGUGGGGAGCAAACAGGAUUAGAUACCCUGGUAGUCCACGCCGUAAACGAUGAGUGCUAGGUGUUGGGUCCUUUCCGGGACUCAGUGCCGCAGCUAACGCAUUAAGCACUCCGCCUGGGGAGUACGACCGCAAGGUUGAAACUCAAAGGAAUUGACGGGGGCCCGCACAAGCGGUGG
rnacentral:rRNA from 1 species